AGCUUUGCGCAGUGGCAGUAUGGUAGCCAAUGAGGUUUAUCCGAGGCGCGAUUAUUGCUAAUUGAGAUAGAUAUCUAGGGGUCCAUAGAAAAACUCAGCAUCAAUGUCCCUCAAACUCUAGGACAAGUAACUUCUACAUGACUCUCUUCAGG
rnacentral:snRNA from 2 species